CCCCCCCCCCCCCCGUCCGGAAAUACUUGUCUGAGAAAUGGAUGAAUCUAGAUGUAUUUUAGUUCUAGAUACAUUCAUUUGUAUUCAUUUCUCCGACAAGUAUUUCCGGACGGAUGGAGUAUAGU
rfam:Triticum aestivum genome assembly, contig: Triticum_aestivum_CS42_TGACv1_scaffold_501225_6BL